CAGUAGCCACGGGAAUACGUAGGUGGCAAGCGUUGUCCGGAAUUAUUGGGCGUAAAGGGCUCGCAGGCGGUUUCUUAAGUCUGAUGUGAAAGCCCCCGGCUCAACCGGGGAGGGUCAUUGGGAACUGGGAAACUUGAGUGCAGAAGAGGAGAGUGGAAUUCCACGUGUAGCGGUGAAAUGCGUAGAGAUGUGGAGGAACACCAGUGGCGAAGGCGACUCUCAGGUCUGUAACUGACGCUGAGGAGCGAAAGCGUGGGGAGCGAACAGGAUUAGAUACCCCUGUAGUCCCUGUCUCUUAUAA
rnacentral:rRNA from 1 species